rnacentral:lncRNA from 12 species
GGGGGCCAGGAGGGGAAGCAGUGGUCAUGAGCAGAGGCUGGAACUUGGCUUGUUAAUGUCUGGAUUUCUUUACUUCAACUUUUCCAUUCUUCAGACUUGAGCCAAGUUGGAAGAGAAGAGGGGGAUCUGCCAGGUGGCUGCAUCUUGGAACACAGGCCUUGCUUUCCUGUGCCAUUUUGGAGCAGUCCUGUGUGUGGGAGAAGUACAGCUGUGGGACGCCUGAUGAAAAGAGGAAAUGGUUAGCUGGUAGCACAGGAGCCUCGUGCAAGAGGAAGAAACGUAGAAGAAAAGAAAUUGCAGUGCAGUUUCUCUGCCGAGGGAUAUCGACUGUAACAUUUACUCUGUGUCUGAGCAUGGACCCUCAGCUGUGCAGGGGGACACCAAGCCAAGGAAGGAUAUAAGGAACCCAGGCUAUGGAAUUUAUUUCUCCAGAAAAGCCUGACAAGGCCUGAGGUAAUUUUCUGUGCUGUGCAGUAAUCACUCCCUCAGUGCAGGGAACAAAUGGACACCCAGCUCUCCGUGUAAGUCACGGCCUGGUGCUGUUUCCCCUGGGCCCCAGGCAGAGGGACCGGGAGAUCCCAGCCCUCCUGCACGGCUCAGGUGUGUCCUGCACUACCUGCACCAGUGAGGACACCCUGCAGUGGGAAGGGCCAUUCUGUGACUCCUCACUCUCUGCCUUGGCUCUGUCCUGGCCUGCUGCCAUCCCAGCAGCACCACGGAGCAGGCGGAGCAAAUCCUGAAGACUGCGAGCGCCAGAAUCUGCACGGCUAAAAGAGGGCAGCAGCACCCCGGUAACGUUUGUCUGCUGAUGGAGACUCAGCAAGAGAGCUUGGGCCACAUCUCCCUUGGCUGAGUACACAUUGUUUGUCAGGCAGAAUGCUCUCCCGGCCUUCUAUGCUCCCACCAAACCAUUCAGUAAAAGGAUAAUAUUUUUCUUCCUACUACACUUCCCUUUUUUUUUAUUGCUGAAUGUUUCCUAAAUUGACUUUUUUUUUCCUUUGAAACCAUUAACAUAUUUAAAAACUAAAGUCAUGUAAUGAUUUAAAACAAAAAAAAAAAAAAAAACAGGGGGGGGGGGGGGGGGGGGGGG